UACGAAGGGAGCUAGCGUUGUUCGGAAUUACUGGGCGUAAAGGGCGUGUAGGCGGUAUCAUAAGUCAGAUGUGAAAGACCUGGGCUUAACCUAGGAAGUGCAUUUGAUACUGUGAAACUAGAGAUCGAGAGAGGAAAGUGGAAUUACGAGUGUAGAGGUGAAAUUCGUAGAUAUUCGUAAGAACACCAGUGGCGAAGGCGCUUUCUGGCUCGAUACUGACGCUGAGGCACGAAAGCGUGGGGAGCAAACAGGA
rnacentral:rRNA from 1 species